UACGAAGGGGGCUAGCGUUGUUCGGAAUCACUGGGCGUAAAGCGCACGCAGGCGGAUUGAUAAGCCAGGGGUGAAAUCCCGGAGCUCAACUUCGGAAUUGCCUUUGAUACUGUCAAUCUCGAGUCCGGGAGAGGUGAGUGGAAUUCCUAGUGUAGAGGUGAAAUUCGUAGAUAUUAGGAAGAACACCAGUGGCGAAGGCGGCUCACUGGUCCGGUACUGACGCUGAGGUGCGAAAGCGUGGGGAGCAAACAGG
rnacentral:rRNA from 1 species